rnacentral:rRNA from 1 species
GACGAACGCUGGCGGCGUGCUUAACACAUGCAAGUCGAGCGAUGAAGUUCCUUCGGGAAUGGAUUAGCGGCGGACGGGUGAGUAACACGUGGGUAACCUGCCUCAUAGAGGGGAAUAGCCUUCCGAAAGGAAGAUUAAUACCGCAUAAGAUUGUAGUACCGCAUGGUAUAGCAAUUAAAGGAGCAAUCCGCUAUGAGAUGGACCCGCGUCGCAUUAGCUAGUUGGUGAGGUAACGGCGCACCAAGGCGACGAUGCGUAGCCGACCUGAGAGGGCGAUCGGCCACAUUGGGACUGAGACACGGCCCAGACUCCUACGGGAGGCAGCAGUGGGGAAUAUUGCACAAUGGGGGAAACCCUGAUGCAGCAACGCCGCGUGAGUGAUGACGGUCUUCGGAUUGUAAAACUCUGUCUUCAGGGACGAUAAUGACGGUACCUGAGGAGGAAGCCACGGCUAACUACGUGCCAGCCGCCGCAGUAA